CCUACGGAGGCUGCAGUGGGGAAUAUUGGACAAUGGGGGGAACCCUGAUCCAGCCAUGCCGCGUGUGUGAAGAAGGCCCUCGGGUUGUAAAGCACUUUCAGUGAGGAAGAACGCCUGGUGGUUAAUACCCAUCAGGAAAGACAUCACUCACAGAAGAAGCACCGGCUAACUCCGUGCCAGCAGCCGCGGUAAUACGGAGGGUGCGAGCGUUAAUCGGAAUUACUGGGCGUAAAGCGCGCGUAGGUGGCUUGAUAAGCCGGUUGUGAAAGCCCCGGGCUCAACCUGGGAACGGCAUCCGGAACUGUCAAGCUAGAGUGCAGGAGAGGAAGGUAGAAUUCCCGGUGUAGCGGUGAAAUGCGUAGAGAUCGGGAGGAAUACCAGUGGCGAAGGCGGCCUUCUGGACUGACACUGACACUGAGGUGCGAAAGCGUGGGUAGCAAACAGGAUUAGAUACCCCUGUAGUC
rnacentral:rRNA from 1 species